ensembl:snoRNA SNORA74 Small nucleolar RNA SNORA74
CCCAGCUGUGGGCAACGACUUAGGUGCAUUGUACCUAGGGAAGUGUUACACUGCUGGGAGAAAAGCAUCUAAGAGCUGAUGGGCAUC